UUCCGACGACCUACACAUCAAAGAAACAUACAACUACCAAACAACCCACCAGUCCAACCAAGACAGCAACCAACCUUCAAUCCCUUUCAGACAAGCAGUCCAAACAUUUGGCAACCAAUUCAAAAGGUAUAGAGACGAAACAGUCACUAACGCCCACAACAAAUCACAGCGAGUGAACCAACUCAACAAUGAAAGAAGCGAAAUCCAGUCACUCUACAACGAACCAAACAGCAACUGCACUGAAGAAGAACAUUUUUUAUAAGGUACCACAGUCUACCAACACUCAAGACAACCGCGCCAGAUGUACUUAGAUAUAAAAUAUUGAAAACACAACGAAUGACACAAAAACGUUACGAGGAAAUACUACGAAAACAAGGAAUGGAAUACCUAACCAAGAAGAACACCACUACAACCGUAUAAAAAGGCAGGAGCCUUUACUCUUUUUAAAAGGAGGGGAGAGUUAAGGCACAUGUAACUUACAACACAUCACUAUCACAUGGGUCAAUGUCCAAAGUACGUGAUAACACUAAACUAAACACCAUUAUCAAGAACAACAUAUUAUAUGUAUUGUAGAUUACCCAUUAGUAUAAAUAGAAGCAUAACCAUACACGCUUUGCCUUUUGUAUUUUGAAGAUUACCAAAUAAAGAACGUUCUGCUGUCAAUGCAGAACUAAAAUAUUUCUUUGACUAAAAUAAA